GACCUGUUUCUGCUAACAGCUCCCCAGCUCCAAGGCCAAGGCUGAACACACAGGACGGAUUCCCUGUCACAAAACGCUUCUUCACGAAAGCUAGGGCAGCGCUGGUCCCGACCCCAGGCGCCCGCUCCUCCCGCAGAAUGGAUGGCAGGCAGCUCCAGAACCUGAGGCACUGGCCUACGAGAAGGAACCCCAGGCCAGUGGACCGGACGGAGCCGAAAGCCCAGCCCGCUGCAGGUGCACGGCCUGGGGAGCGGCAGCUUCGGGCGCUUGGGCCCCUGCCCCCACGUGGGAGACCCGGAUCGAG